rnacentral:rRNA from 1 species
UAGGGAAUCUUCCACAAUGGGCGAAAGCCUGAUGGAGCAACGCCGCGUGUGUGAUGAAGGGUUUCGGCUCGUAAAACACUGUUGUAAGAGAAGAAUGACAUUGAGAGUAACUGUUCAAUGUGUGACGGUAUCUUACCAGAAAGGAACGGCUAACUACGUGCCAC